AGCGAACGCUGGCGGCAGGCUUAACACAUGCCAGUCGAGCGGGCAUCCUUGUGGUGUCAGCGGCAGACGGGUGAGUAACGCGUGGGAACGUGCCCUUCGGUUCGGAAUAACUCAGGGAAACUUGAGCUAAUACCGGAUACGUGCGAGAGCAGAAAGGUUUAUCUGCCGAAGGAUCGGCCCGCGUCUGAUUAGCUAGUUGGUGAGGUUACGGCUCACCAAGGCGACGAGCAGUAGCUGGUCUGAGAGGAUGAUCAGCCACACUGGGACUGAGACACGGCCCAGACUCCUACGGGAGGCAGCAGUGGCGAAUAUUGGACAAUGGGGUCAACCCUGAUCCAGCCAUGCCGCGUGAGUGAUGACGGCCUUAGGGUUGUAAAGCUCUUUUCUCCGGGACGAUAAUGACGGUACCGGAGGAAUAAGCCCCGGCUAACUUCGUG
rnacentral:rRNA from 1 species